CCCUGAUCCGCUCUUCGCAGCUCUAAAGUUUUAGGGACAAUUUGUUCAGUGAAGCUUCUCAGACAAUAGAAAGUUCUGAGGUUUCCUGGACGUUGCGUUCGGGAGGCGGGGCCGGGACCCGCUGACGGCAGUUUCCCAGCCCUGUUCCCCCUCCCCUGCCCCCUCAGCCUGCGGGCAGCAGAAGGCGGCGGCCAGCCUCCUCCUGCCCCUCGGCCGGACGAACCGCGGCUGCCGCGCCUGUCACCUCUGCACCUGCCCGGCUGAGGUGAGAUGCCUGGCGCGCAAGAUGGACCACUUUUCUCCCUGCUGGCUUUCCGGGGUACUUGGCAAUGGGCCAGAGUGCAAUGCCUCUUGUGGAUGUUUGAGUAGGACCAGCAGUUGGGACUGUUCUGCCCCCAACUCUUCCCCAGCAGCAGCUCAAGGGACUCUGGCAAUGUUUGACUCUCAGCAGACACCCACAUAUGUGUCUCUGGUCUGAAAGUACAGGCAGGUUAUAAAACAACAUUUAAAAAUUACAUAUAUCAAUCUAUAUCUACUGAUUUACUUCAACCAUUUGGAGGGCUCAUUUGUGCAGGGACAACUGUGCACCUGAUCUUGGUAAUCUCCUUACCCUGACUAAUUUCAGUGUCACAGGAUGCUAUGCAUACCACCCAUGAGUUCUGGAUUCCUUCCUAUCCCCUUAGAUUUGGUUUCAGGUAGAAGAGGUAGCCCAUGAGUUAUGGGCCAAAGUCACAUAAAAGCCUCCCAUGGACUAGCUCACACACCGCCAGCUCCCCCAACCUCACCUGAGGCUGUGGGCAGAGGCAAGAACAAUUCCAGCUGCCCCAGCUACCCUAGCUACCCUGACCUCGGCAGCCUGGAGGAUCUAAUGCCCCAGCGCCACCAGGGAGCUGCCCAGUUGUUCCGGUGUGGAGAGUUGUUUUCCACUCUCCUUGAAUAAUGGAGAAUAGCUAUUGAAUAAUGAAGAAUAGCCACCCCACUCUCCUUGAAUAACUAUUUCCACUGGUGGAGAGGGGAGACUGAGCGUAAGGAGGCUGUAAAAAUCCACAUAUGGGACUUUUUGGGCGAUGGCUCAGGGCUGGGUAAGCUCUUGAAUUUCCACCUUGGACAUUUUGUGGCCAUUUAUUAGCAACAAAUGAAAUUCAACCACUUCUGGAAAAAAUAAAGUCAUCAUCAAAUUAAAUCCCUAAUGCCUAAAUUCAGCUGCCUUUAGCUGCUGGUCCUUGUGCCCCAACAGAUUUCAGUGCUAGAGGCCCCUCUCCCCUCCCUCCUUUCUGCCAACCUCAGCCUCCCCACCACCACCCGGCAGAAACCUCAGGUACCCCCUUUAUGUUCCAGGGUUGCUACAGAGAUAGACUGCAGGGCCCGGUGCUUCUUCCCUCAUAAGCUUUAGAUAAUUCUUCCUCUCAGUGGAAAAAAUAAAGGGAGAACUCUACUUAGCCAAGCACCUGCAAACCCAGCAUGAAGCGGGAGAUAGAGUCACAUUUAGAGGGUGAACCUGGUAAAACUGGGGUUCCUGAGACCAGAAAGAACAGGAAAGAAUUCUCUGUGUAGGACUCAUCUGGCUCCCAAGAUUUAGCUUUUUGGCCUGAGGCCUGCGGACUAAAGGGCCAAGGGAGUGCACAUGAAAGCAAGACAAAGCCCUGCUGCUCCCACUUGGCCCCACCAUUUCUCACUGUCCUGUCUGUCAGUCCCUGCUGAGGAUCUUGGGGCUUUGGAAAAAAGUCCUAGUCACCGCCAAGAACUGGGUGGCUCUCCGGAGUAGCGAGGGCUGGAAGCUGGAUACUCCUCAUGUUUCAUUUCUUUUGUUGCUUCAGAGACCUUGACCAUUCAGGCAAUCCCUUGCAGAUAAAGGAGAGGAGGCUACCGGACAGCCACAUGGAUUAAGCUUCAAGAAGCCAGGGAGAUCCCGGGAGAGUUAUGGAUUGGGGACAAGAGAUGCAGCAGGAAGGAUGCGUGUUGAUUUCUGCAGACCUUGGGGGCAAUUGAGUGGGGCCAGGAUGUUUCCUCACAUGCCUGUGUGUGACGCUGUGUACCCACGUAUGUGUUGUUUCCACAUUCUUGUUUGAUUCUAGAAAGGUACAUGGAUACAACGCGUGUGGGUGUACGAAGUGUAUGCAUGCUUAUGUGUGCUGCCGGAUAAACAUAUGGCUUUGUGUAGUCACACAUGAUACGUGCAUGACGCUUGUACUUAGCUUCCUAUAAAAAGUAUAUGGUAGUUGCUGAUGUACCCGUAUUUUUUUCGGGGUGCACGUUGGGGCCUCAAAACUCGCCGACUUUGGAUUGGGUUUUAUGGUGCUGCUAAGCAAUCCCGAACUCCUGAGAGUGCAGAAUGUUACCUUCCAGCAUUGCGGAAGCAAGGCAAAGGAGAGGGGCUGGAGGGCUUCCCAGGAAGCCCCUUCACCUCGCACCCAAGGCCUGUCUUUCCGCCUUGGUAACCUGAGGCAGGCUCCUCCCUCAUGCUCAGUGGGCUCAGCUCAGGCUCGAAGUUACGCAUCCUGCAUCCUGCGAAGGCAGGCAGGACCGGAGCUGGCGCCUGGAACGGCGGGCGCACCCUGCAGUCGAAGGUCGGGCUGCGGCGUUGCACGAAACGCCGUGGGGAAAGAGAAGCUGGGCCUGGGGGAACAGGAUUUCC
rnacentral:lncRNA from 1 species